UACGGAGGGUGCAAGCGUUGUUCGGAUUUACUGGGCGUAAAGCGCGCGCAGGCGGCCUGAAAAGUCUAUGGGUGAAAUGCCGGGGCUCAACCCCGUGUGUGCCCAGGAUACUGUCAGGCUGGAGACACGUAGAGGCAAGCGGAAUUCCGGGUGUAGCGGUGGAAUGCGUAGAGAUCCGGAAGAACACCAAUGGCGAAAGCAGCUCUCUGGGACGGUACUGACGCUGAGACGCGAAAGCGUGGGGAGCGAACAGG
rnacentral:rRNA from 1 species